UACGUAGGGAGCAAGCGUUGUCCGGAAUUAUUGGGCGUAAAGAGCUCGUAGGCGGUUCGUCGCGUCGGCUGUGAAAUCCCGAGGCUCAACCUCGGGUCUGCAGUCGAUACGGGCGGACUGGAGUUCGGCAGGGGAGACUGGAAUUCCUGGUGUAGCGGUGAAAUGCGCAGAUAUCAGGAGGAACACCGGUGGCGAAGGCGGGUCUCUGGGCCGAUACUGACGCUGAGGAGCGAAAGCGUGGGGAGCGAACAGG
rnacentral:rRNA from 1 species